rnacentral:lncRNA from 1 species
CAACCUUGCACUCACUGCUUACCCGGAGCGUGUGAACAUCAGAACCUCUUCCUAUCACAGCUGCUGUGCCUUGGUGCUGUGCCCCUGCACAACAUCCUGAGAUGGUGAAGACUGAGCUCAACAUAUGUCUUCCUCUGCAAGUGACUCAUGUCGCUGCUACUUCCUAGACCUGUACCCAGACAGGAUGGCAACCAUCCUUCUUGGUCUUUUCUCUGACAUGAUCACGUUCCUUAUGUUUUAUUUCCCUCUGAACACUCUCGUCACCAUGUCAUCAUUUGUUUAUUCCCCCCACUUUUGACACUGGGAGGACAGGCACCA